rnacentral:rRNA from 1 species
GCAGCAGCCGCGGGAAUACGGAGGGUGCGAGCGUUAAUCGGAAUUACUGGGCGUAAAGGGUGCGUAGGUGGUUUGAUAAGUUAUCUGUGAAAUCCCUGGGCUUAACCUGGGCAGGUCAGAUAAGACUGUUGGACUCGAGUAUAGGAGAGGGUAGUGGAAUUUCCGGUGUAGCGGUGAAAUGCGUAGAGAUCGGAAGGAACACCAGUGGCGAAGGCGGCUACCUGGCCUGAUACUGACACUGAGGCACGAAAGCGUGGGGAGCAAACAGGAUUAGAUACCCCAGUAGUCCCUGUCUCUUAUAC